GACGAACGCUGGCGGUGUGCUUAACACAUGCAAGUCGAACGGCAAGGCCCUGCUUUUGUGGGGUGCUCGAGGGGCGAAGGGGUGCGUAACACGUGAGUAACCUGCUCUUGUCUUUGGGAUAACUUCAGGAAAGUGGGGCUACUACAGGAUAGCAGACCCCGUUGCAUGGUGGGGGGUGGAAAGUUUGGGCUGGUGGGGCUGGACGCGCGGCUUACCAGCUUGUUGGUGGGGUAGGGGCUUACCAAGCGUUUGACGGAUAGCCGGCCUGUGAGGGUGACCGGCCACAUUGGGACUGAGGUACGGCGCAGACUCCUACGGGGGGCAGCAGUGGGAAAUAUUGCACAAUGGUCCGAAGUCUGAUGCGACGACGCCGCGUGCGUGAUGACGGCCUUCUGGUUAUAAACCGCUUUCGCCUGUUACGCCGCGUGAGUGACGGUAAUGGGUAAAGAAGCACCGGCUAACUACGUG
rnacentral:rRNA from 1 species